GGGCUCGUAGCUCAGCUUGGUAGAGCGGCUGGCUCUUAUACAGCAUGCCAGGGGUUCGAAUCCCCUCGAGCCCG
rnacentral:tRNA from 1 species